CCUGUUCAACUUCUUUAACACUCCGCUUAUCGAAAUACAUAGUGAAAUUUCCAAGAAAUCUGAGAAAUGUUUUAUCUUAAAAAAAAAAAAAAAAAAAAAACAACUGGUUUGUUUUAUUUAGGAAAGGAACAAGUGGAGAAUUUUGGAAAAUCGUUAUCCAGGAAAAGGUUAAUGUAGGAAGAGCAAACACUGACUACACAUCUCUCUCUGGCUGCAUAGAUUUGAAAUAAAA
rnacentral:lncRNA from 1 species